rnacentral:SRP_RNA from 6 species
GGCCAGAUCUGUGAUGAUAGUAUGUGCGGCGAACUCCGCCAGGUCGGGAACGAAGCAACGGUAACUGUCUCUGCUAGGUGUUGCUGGUUUGGCCGCC